UACGUAGGGGGCUAGCGUUAUCCGGAAUUAUUGGGCGUAAAGAGCUCGUAGGCGGUUCGUCGCGUCGGCUGUGAAAACCUGAGGCUCAACCUCAGGCCUGCAGUCGAUACGGGCGGACUUGAGUACUGCAGGGGAGACUGGAAUUCCUGGUGUAGCGGUGAAAUGCGCAGAUAUCAGGAGGAACACCGGUGGCGAAGGCGGGUCUCUGGGCAGUAACUGACGCUGAGGAGCGAGAGCGUGGGGAGCGAACAGG
rnacentral:rRNA from 1 species